AUUGAACGCUGGCGGAAUGCUUUACACAUGCAAGUCGAACGGCAGCACGGACUUCGGUCUGGUGGCGAGUGGCGAACGGGUGAGUAAUAUAUCGGAACGUAUCCAAUAAUGGGGGGAUAACUAAUCGAAAGGUUGGCUAAUACCGCAUACGUCCUACGGGAGAAAGCUAGGGACCUUCGGGCCUGGCGUUAAUGGAGCGGCCGAUAUCGGAUUAGCUAGUUGGUGAGGUAAAGGCUCACCAAGGCGACGAUCCGUAGCUGGUCUGAGAGGACGACCAGCCACACCGGAACUGAGACACGGUCCAGACUCCUACGGGAGGCAGCAGUGGGGAAUUUUGGACAAUGGGCGAAAGCCUGAUCCAGCCAUUCCGCGUGAGUGAAGAAGGCCUUCGGGUUGUAAAGCUCUUUCGCAAGAGAAGAAAACUUACCCUCUAACAUAGGGUGAGGUUGACGGUAUCUUGAUAAGAAGCACCGGCUAACUACGUGCCAGCCGCCGCCGUAA
rnacentral:rRNA from 1 species